CUCUUAUUUUCAAACAAAAAUUAUAUUUACAGUAUGGAUCCUUUGCAACAAACACACAGGGCAGGGAAGAAGUGCUGAUUGGUGUUUCUAUACAAUUAAUCCCAUAUGGGGAAUUAACUUCCAAAUACUAAUGAAGUGACUUUUUGUCUCAGUUAUAAAAUAUACUGAGCUCAUCAUGCAAACAAUGCAACACAUUUACACUAUCCCACUCUCAUAAUAAGUGUAGUGGGCUUAUGGUAUUUUUAAAGCAACAAUCAUACCAGGCACACAGAUCCCAUGUGAAAUAACUUACAAUAAAACAGAGUAAUAAACUUAUACUUCUAUGCGACAGAAAGAAUAAAGCAAAAAGAUUUAAGUAGGUCUAUCAGGUACAACCUGUGAGUCAUUUCUUUUCUAAUAUACAGUACUGCUAUCUUGCAGAAAGAUAAGUCCUGCGCUCACUCCCAUCACUACUGGACAGCAGCAAGGACUACAGUACACAUCAGCCCCAAUAUAUG